rnacentral:rRNA from 1 species
UACGUAGGGGGCAAGCGUUGUCCGGAAUCAUUGGGCGUAAAGAGCGUGUAGGCGGCCCGGUAAGUCCGCUGUGAAAGUCGGGGGCUCAACCCUCGGAAGCCGGUGGAUACUGUCGGGCUAGAGUACGGAAGAGGCGAGUGGAAUUCCUGGUGUAGCGGUGAAAUGCGCAGAUAUCAGGAGGAACACCAAUUGCGAAGGCAGCUCGCUGGGACGUUACUGACGCUGAGACGCGAAAGCGUGGGGAGCAAACAGG